rnacentral:rRNA from 1 species
GACGAACGCUGGCGGCGUGCUUAACACAUGCAAGUCGAACGGAAAGGCCCUGCUUUUGUGGGGUGCUCGAGUGGCGAACGGGUGAGUAACACGUGAGUAACCUGCCCUUGACUUUGGGAUAACUUCAGGAAACUGGGGCUAAUACCGGAUAGGAGCUCCUGCUGCAUGGUGGGGGUUGGAAAGUUUCGGCGGUUGGGGAUGGACUCGCGGCUUAUCAGCUUGUUGGUGGGGUAGUGGCUUACCAAGGCUUUGACGGGUAGCCGGCCUGAGAGGGUGACCGGCCACAUUGGGACUGAGAUACGGCCCAGAAUCCUACGGGAGGCAGCAGUGGGGAAUAUUGCACAAUGGGAGGAAGCCUGAGGCGGCAACGCCGCGUGCGGGAUGACGGCCUUCGGGUUGUAAACCGCUUUCGCCUGUGGCGAAGCGUGAGUGACGGUAAUGGGUAAAGAAGCACCGGCUAAGUACGUG